AUUGAACGCUGGCGGCAUGCUUUACACAUGCAAGUCGAACGGUAACAGGCCGCAAGGUGCUGACGAGUGGCGAACGGGUGAGUAAUGCAUCGGAACGUGCCCAGUCGUGGGGGAUAACGCAGCGAAAGCUGUGCUAAUACCGCAUACGAUCUAUGGAUGAAAGCGGGGGACCGUAAGGCCUCGCGCGAUUGGAGCGGCCGAUGUCAGAUUAGGUAGUUGGUGGGGUAAAGGCUCACCAAGCCAACGAUCUGUAGCUGGUCUGAGAGGACGACCAGCCACACUGGGACUGGCACACGGCCCGGACUCCGACGGGAGGCAGCAGUGGGGAAUUUUGGACAAUGGGCGCAAGCCUGAUCCAGCAAUGCCGCGUGCAGGAAGAAGGCCUUCGGGUUGUAAACUGCUUUUGUACGGAACGAAAAGGUUUGGGUUAAUACCCUGGGCCGAUGACGGUACCGUAAGAAUAAGCACCGGCUAACUACGUGCCAGCCGCCGCUGUAAAAC
rnacentral:rRNA from 1 species